rnacentral:rRNA from 1 species
UAGCUUGGGAAUCUGCUUAUGGAGGGGGAUAACUACGGGAAACUGUAGCUAAUACCGCGUAGUAUCGAGAGAUGAAAGUGCGGGACCGCAAGGCCGCAUGCCAUGAGAUGAGCCCAAGUGGGAUUAGGUAGUUGGUGGGGUAAAGGCCUACCAAGCCUGCGAUCUCUAGCUGGUCUGAGAGGAUGGCCAGCCACACUGGAACUGAGACACGGUCCAG